AUGUGUGCCUCUUGCAAACACACAACUAGAGGACAAAAACAUUGAUAGCCUAUGUGGCUCUCCGAUUGUAUUCUCUAGUACUUUAAGAUCCUUCUACAACAAAGAAAACAAUGUGGACUCCAAAUCAGCAGAAGAAUCUCGUAAAGAAGCUGAUCAUGGCCAAGCCGAGCUCAGAACAUCAAAAGUUGAAUGGGUGGAGCAGUAUCAGCUUGGUGUCUUCAUUACAUUGACAGUGCUGCCAAGUGGAAAGAAAGGACACAACCACUGCUUUGACAAUGUCAUAAAGGUAUAAGCUUAUUGUUUUUGAUAUUUUAUCUUUAUUUUAAAUGCGUUUCAAUUUGCUGUUUGCAUGUGAAAAAUAGACUUAACCAAUUUUUUUUUGAAGCCCCAUUUUUGUUUUAUGACACCUGAGCCACUUGCACAAAGAUAUGUUUAUCACUCUAUUGGAGAGAAGUGGGCUGCAAUUAGGAAGGGGAGUGUUCAACGACCCACUGAAAAGAAAAGAUAAGAUUAUGGAUAAUGUUCCAAUAGGUAUUGCUCGGGAUCAAGGACUUCUUCCAUGAACUACUGUGCUAAAGAAGAAACUCAGGUAUUUAUCUAGUUACUCACAUCCAGAUGCGUAUUUAUAUGCUUAUUCGCUUGUAUAUCUGACUUUGAGGUGUCUUCUUGUUGUUAGAAUAUGUGUAAAAGAAAUGCUGAAAAAUCUGAAUAAGCAACCAUUCCUCACAGCCGGUGGUUCCAAACCUAAUUCUAGAAGGAGGACUGAAAUGGUGAAAGAUGUAACCUCGUUUAUUUUAUUUUACUAAUUAAACUUGCUAACCAUGUAAACUAUUCCUUCUACUUUAGCUAAUCUAUUCCAUCUUAAUUUUUCCAUACAUAGACAGCUGUGAUGGGGAUAAAGCCCGGACGAGUACAACUGUAUCUUAUACGCAUAAGAAACAAGGAUCAUAUGUGAGUGAGGAGGCAAGAGAAAUAUGUGUAAGUUGCGCUCCUUGCUCUUUACCUCUUCUACAAAUAGAAUCAUUAUUUGCAUCUUGGCAUGAGUUUGUAUUGCUGGUAACAGCAUGAGAUCGUAAGUCUGUUAUUUGAGGAGGAGCUCUUGCUACACUUUGUAGGAGUAAAUUCAGGUGUGUUUCAGUGCCUUUGAACAAACUGUUGUAGUUUGUGAUGCUGCACCAUAUGUUUUUAAUUUCACCUCAACCAGAAAUGUAAUCGUGAUUGAGCCCAAAAUUAAUAAAACAAGGAAAAAGAAAGAAAGGAGGAGAAGACUUGAUGGGGUCAGGUGUCAUGUUUGAAACCUUAGGUUUGAUAGUGUCUUGCUACGGUUAUGAUUAUGUAGCUCAUAAGUGGAGAAUGCUUUAAAGGAUAGUUUCUGUUGUAUGGUGUAUGUUCCAUUUGUUACCUACGUUUCGAGUCAUUAUCACUUCUCUCCCAAAACCGAGUCUGGUGGCUGAGUCAUAUGUGCUUUCUCACAACAAGCCCAAGUACAGGGUGUCACUGCCACAAAUUGACUCAUCUCCGGUUUUACUUGCAACACUUGUUUCUUUGAUGUUUAUACCUUUUCUUUUGUCAGUUGCUAAUAUUCAUAACAUGGAAAGUUAGCAAUCUUUUAAAAUCUGUGUAGAAAAUGCUAAUUUUGUCUUUCUUCUAUUGAAAACUCUACUCUCUUUUAGUAUAUGCUGCCUACUAGUUAAACUAUUCUUGUGCGGAUAAAAUGUUGACAAAGAUUUUCUGGAUUGUGUACGUGUUUAGUAAGUUGAGCAAACAUUGGGUCGAACUACUAUGGUUGAGUCUGAAAUUUCUACAAAUGAUGCGACUGGUGGAGUGCUAGGAAAAGAGCGUCCUGGAAGGGUAAGAUGUUGGGAUAAAGUGCUGAACAGACACAUCUCCACGUCAAGUAAUGAUGUUACAUGUUCUUCACACUGCCAACAGAAGUACAACCAGUUGUUGAAUAUUCUCAAAGCAUACAUGAUAAUGACGAUAAUGAAGGAAGGGACAAUACCUGAACAAUGUUGUGAUCUUUACUUCUCCUACAACAGUGAACACUAGAGAUUUUUUGUUUUUAGGCUAAUGAUGCUUUUUUGAUUUUCUCCUUCACUUGUAAAAGAACUACAUCUACAAUAUGACAAUUUUAUAUGUCCGACAAGAAUUAAGAAGGAUUGGUCAGACAAAAUAUGAAGCGAACACUGAACCUUGAUAUACCUAGAACAAUAUAUUUUUGUUACCACGAAAUAUAUUCACAACCGCCAAUCAUUCAAAUAUCUCCAACUCUUUUUAUUCUCUUUUUUUGCAGCCCAAUGAUGCAUCUAGCGGACCCUUUCACCCCGGCAUCUCAACGGGUGGCUCGAGCCUAAAACUUAUUGUUUUAGGCCUCCAAAAUACUGAGUCUUCAAAAAAUUUUAAUGACUAAUUUAAUAAUUUUAUUUGACUUAACUAAUAUUGAAGAUUUUUAAGAAAAAUAAUUUUAUUUCACUUAACUAAUAUUGAUAAUUGUUGAGAAAAAAAAGAAGAUGGUUCAAAUUGUAUAUAGAAGAAAAAAAUGAAAACCAUUUAUCUUUUACCAAAAACAUUUUAGAACUUUCAAUUACAUAACUUAAAUUUUUGUAUUAAUAAAUAAACCUUUUACAACAAAAACCAAAGUAAUGUAUUACAAACACUCCACUAACAUCUUAUUAACUAGGUCCAGAGGUACCUUUAAUUUUAUAUUACUGUAUGAGUUCAACUAAAGAACUGUUCAUAUCAAAAACAUGUAAAAAUAAAAAUAGACAACUGUAAAUUAUUAAUUUUUUUUGUGCCACUGUAUAUGAUUAAUUUGUCUGAAAAUUUUAUUUUAGUCACUAAUUUUAUUUGAGACGUUAUUAGACAUAUAACUGAUUGAAUAGAAUAGAUAUUUUGUUGAUAAAGUAUUGUAAAACAAAUCUAAUAGGGUGAACCACACACCUCUUGCUUGGCACCCGUUGGACUAGAUUCUCGUGUCGAAGAUAUUGCUUGGCAUCCGUUGGACUAGAUUUUCGUGUUUUAGAUAUAGAGUUACUUCAAAUGGAUCUGUAGAAAUAGAAGUUUGAUGGUUGGGUGGAAUAUAGAAGUUUGCAUGUUGGUAUAUAUGGCGUUGGUGGAAUAUAGAAGUUUGCAUGUUGGUAUAUAUGGCGUUGGUGGAAUAUAGAAGUUUGCAUGUUGGUAUAUAUGGCGUUGGUGGAAUAUAGAAGUUUGCAUGUUGGUAUAUAUGGCGUUGGUGGAAUAGGAAAAAAAGUUAUCUACAAUCAAAUAUUUCGACAGUCUAAAGUACUAAACGAGUCAAAUCGCAUAAUAUAACACAACAUUCAACAGCAAAA
rnacentral:lncRNA from 1 species